rnacentral:lncRNA from 1 species
UCUCAAAGUGCUUUGGUUAGAUUAUGUUUGAUUUUGUUUUCCCUUUGAACAUACGUCUUGGGGUCUCUAGUCAUGAUAGGUAGGGUUGCAAUCAAACAUCUUCAUUCGUUAUAGGAUUUAAACCCAUUCCUUUUGAUGAUUUAGCAACAAUAUAUAUCUCGUGGCAAACCUUUAGUAAAUGGAUUCGCUAGGUUGUCAACCGAUUUGAUGUAGUCUAUUGUGAUUACA